GGCAACCCUGACGGAGCAACGCCGCGUGGGGGAGGAAGGUCUGUGGAUUGUAAACCCCUUUUCUCUGUGAAGAAGAUCUGACGGUAGCAGAGGAAUCAGCAUCGGCUAACUCCGUGCCAGCAGCCGCGGUAAGACGGAGGAUGCAAGCGUUAUCCGGAAUUAUUGGGCGUAAAGCGUCCGUAGGCGGUUUUUCAAGUCUGCCGUUAAAGACUGCAGCUCAACUGUGGGCCGGCGGUGGAAACUGAUGAACUUGAGUAUGGUAGGGGUAGAGGGAAUGCCCAGUGUAGCGGUGAAAUGCGUAGAUAUUGGGAAGAACAUCGGUGGCGAAAGCGCUCUACUGGACGGCAACUGACACUCAGGGACGAAAGCUAGGGGAGCG
rnacentral:rRNA from 1 species